UAACACCUCAAGCUUUUCUUCAUUUAAAAUUGAUUUUGUUCGACCUUUUAAACCAAACAUAGUCUGGUUUUACAUGUGCCGCUUAAUCCUUUUUUGUAUCCUUUUUUGGUUUAAAUUUCAGGUUUUGUGGGAAGGGAGGUGGCAAGUAGGAGCAGGCGCAACAACUGGAGAGGAGGUGGAACAGAUAAACAGUCACUUUUCCUGCUGGGGUUCCUCCACAAAGCACAUGCUACCUGAAGCAAGAGAAGACCUGCUUACUAAACACGCACUUCAGUGGAAUAGAAGGAGAGUUGAAAGCCUGCUCCAAUCUCUGGCAAAGCGCUUCAAAAAGAUUCAGUUUGAGCCUGAACCUAGGC